GACAGAGGGUGCAAACGUUGUUCGGAAUGACUGGGCGUAAAGCGUGUGUAGGCGGCCUUUUAGGUCUGAUGUGAAAGCCCCGGGCUCAACCUGGGAAGUGCAUUGGAAACCGGGAGGCUAGAGUGACGGAGAGGUUGGUGGAAUUCUCGGUGUAGAGGUGAAAUUCGUAGAUAUCGAGAGGAACAUCGGUGGCGAAGGCGGCCAACUGGACGUAUACUGACGCUGAGACACGAAAGUGUGGGGAGCAAACAGG
rnacentral:rRNA from 1 species